rnacentral:rRNA from 1 species
GGAGUUUGAUCAUGGCUCAGAUUGAACGCUGGCGGCAGGCCUAACACAUGCAAGUCGAACGGUAAUAGGAAGCAGCUUGCUGCUUCGCUGACGAGUGGCGGACGGGUGAGUAAUGUCUGGGAAGCUGCCUGAUGGAGGGGGAUAACUACUGGAAACGGUAGCUAAUACCGCAUAAUGUCGCAAGACCAAAGAGGGGGACCUUCGGGCCUCUUGCCAUCGGAUGUGCCCAGAUGGGAUUAGCUUGUUGGUGGGGUAACGGCUCACCAAGGCGACGAUCCCUAGCUGGUCUGAGAGGAUGACCAGCCACACUGGAACUGAGACACGGUCCAGACUCCUACGGGAGGCAGCAGUGGGGAAUAUUGCACAAUGGGCGCAAGCCUGAUGCAGCCAUGCCGCGUGUAUGAAGAAGGCCUUCGGGUUGUAAAGUACUUUCAGCGGGGAGGAAGGGAGUAAAGUUAAUACCUUUGCUCAUUGACGUUACCCGCAGAAGAAGCACCGGCUAACUCCGUGCCAGCAGCCGCGGUAAUACGGAGGGUGCAAGCGUUAAUCGGAAUUACUGGGCGUAAAGCGCACGCAGGCGGUUUGUUAAGUCAGAUGUGAAAUCCCCGGGCUCAACCUGGGAACUGCAUCUGAUACUGGCAAGCUUGAGUCUCGUAGAGGGGGGUAGAAUUCCAGGUGUAGCGGUGAAAUGCGUAGAGAUCUGGAGGAAUACCGGUGGCGAAGGCGGCCCCCUGGACGAAGACUGACGCUCAGGUGCGAAAGCGUGGGGAGCAAACAGGAUUAGAUACCCUGGUAGUCCACGCCGUAAACGAUGUCGACUUGGAGGUUGUGCCCUUGAGGCGUGGCUUCCGGAGCUAACGCGUUAAGUCGACCGCCUGGGGAGUACGGCCGCAAGGUUAAAACUCAAAUGAAUUGACGGGGGCCCGCACAAGCGGUGGAGCAUGUGGUUUAAUUCGAUGCAACGCGAAGAACCUUACCUGGUCUUGACAUCCACGGAAGUUUUCAGAGAUGAGAAUGUGCCUUCGGGAACCGUGAGACAGGUGCUGCAUGGCUGUCGUCAGCUCGUGUUGUGAAAUGUUGGGUUAAGUCCCGCAACGAGCGCAACCCUUAUCCUUUGUUGCCAGCGGUCCGGCCGGGAACUCAAAGGAGACUGCCAGUGAUAAACUGGAGGAAGGUGGGGAUGACGUCAAGUCAUCAUGGCCCUUACGACCAGGGCUACACACGUGCUACAAUGGCGCAUACAAAGAGAAGCGACCUCGCGAGAGCAAGCGGACCUCAUAAAGUGCGUCGUAGUCCGGAUUGGAGUCUGCAACUCGACUCCAUGAAGUCGGAAUCGCUAGUAAUCGUGGAUCAGAAUGCCACGGUGAAUACGUUCCCGGGCCUUGUACACACCGCCCGUCACACCAUGGGAGUGGGUUGCAAAAGAAGUAGGUAGCUUAACCUUCGGGAGGGCGCUUACCACUUUGUGAUUCAUGACUGGGGUGAAGUCGUAACAAGGUAACCGUAGGGGAACCUGCGGUUG